UACGUAGGUGGCUAGCAUUGUCCGGAUUUACUGGGCGUAAAGAGCGCGCAGGCGGUCGUUCAAGUCGAGUGUGAAAGCCCCCGGCUCAACUGGGGAGGGUCACUCGAUACUGAUCGACUCGAAGGCAGGAGAGGGAAGCGGAAUUCCCGGUGUAGUGGUGAAAUGCGUAGAUAUCGGGAGGAACACCGGUGGCGAAGGCGGCGAGCUGGCCUGUAACUGACGCUGAGGCGCGACAGCGUGGGGAGCAAACAGG
rnacentral:rRNA from 1 species